rnacentral:rRNA from 1 species
CGGCGUGGAUUAGGCAUGCAAGUCGAACGGACACAGCAAUGUGUUAGUGGCGACCUGGUUAGUACAAGUUGGGUAACCUGCCGGAAAGUGGGGGACAACCUUUCGAAAGAAGGGCUAAUACCGCAUGUGUUCCCUGGGGCUUCGGCUCUGGUGAAUAAAGCAGUGAUGCGCUUUCCGAUGGGCCCGACUCCCCAUUAGCUAGUUGGUAGGGUAACGGCCUACCAAGGCUACGAUGGGUAGCUGGCCUGAGAGGGUGGUCAGCAACACGAGGACUGAGAUACGGCCUCGACUCCUACGGGGGGCAGCAGUCUAGAGGCUUCGGCAAUGGACGAAAGUCUGACCGAGCGACGCCGCGUGGAGGAUGAAGGUCUUCGGAUUGUAAACUCCUUUCGGCCGGAAAGAAAGCUUGGAUGGCGAAUCCAGGUGUGACUGACCGGCGGAAGAAGCCCCGGCUAACUUCGUGCCAGCAGCCGCGGUAAUACGAAGGGGGCAAGCGUUAUUCGGAUUUAUUGGGCGUAAAGGGCGUGUAGGCGGCUCGGCAAGUCUGGUGUGAAAACGCUACCGCUUAACGGAGCGAAUGCGCUGGAAACUGCCGAACUUGAGUUCAGAAGAGGUGGGCGGAAUACCUGGUGUAGCGGUGGAAUGCGUAGAGAUCAGGUAGAACACCCGAGGCGAAGGCGGCCCACUGGUCUGAUACUGACGCUGAGGCGCGAAAGCGUGGGGAUCAAACGGGAUUAGAUACCCCGGUAGUCCACGCUGUAAACGGUGAGCACUAGUCGUUGGGGGUACCCAUUCCCGCAGUGACGUCG